rnacentral:snRNA from 1 species
AGCUUUGCGCAGUGGCAGUAUCAUAGCCAAUGAGGUCAAAACCGAGGCGUGAUUAUUGCUAAUUGAAAACUUUUUCCCCAAUACCCCCGCCGUGAUGACUUGAAAUAUAGUCAGCACUGGCAAUUUUUGACAGUCUCUCAGGAGA